rnacentral:rRNA from 1 species
UACGAAGGGGGCUAGCGUUGCUCGGAAUUACUGGGCGUAAAGGGCGCGUAGGCGGACAGUUUAGUUGGGGGUGAAAGCCCGGGGCUCAACCUCGGAAUUGCCUUCAAUACUGGCUGUCUUGGGUACGGGAGAGGUGUGUGGAACUCCGAGUGUAGAGGUGAAAUUCGUAGAUAUUCGGAAGAACACCAGUGGCGAAGGCGACACACUGGCCCGUUACUGACGCUGAGGCGCGAAGGCUAGGGGAGCGAACGGG